GCGGGUGUGGUGGAAUGGUAGACACGCAAGCUUGAGGUGUUUGUUCCGUUAAAAGAGUGAAGGUUCAAGUCCUUUCAUCCGCACCA
rnacentral:tRNA from 1 species